UUUUGAUGGACUUGAAGAGCCAAGGUGGCGGACAAAAAUAAGUAACUGCUUCACGAUGUUCUAUGGCCCAUGUUUUGGUUACUCAAAUAUUCAACAGGUUAACUUCAAUAACUGGCAGGAGGAUUUGGGCAUUAGACUAUAAUAUGGAAACACAUAAGGAUUAUUCUGUUUGUAGUAAUUUCUGUGGUAAAAACACACCCUUGCAGAAAAAAAAGGAAUUGCGUUGACCCUGUAUUUAAUGAUUAUCAGGAAAGCUAAAUUGAGAGAUGAUGAACACUUGUAGGGUGGAGAGCCAAUUGAUAGCCCACUCACCCACCUCAUCCUUCACCAACCACCACCCUCGGUUUUUUUAUGUCUCGUCACUGCCACUGAGGCACAGCGGUAUUGUGGACAGAACAAGGAAUUGGGGAUCAGUGAAGGAGAAGAUGCUGGGGGGAAAGACGACAAAAAUACCUCAAUAUUGACCAAUGCUGAGUUUACCCUUAUACAGCACCCCUCUUGAAAACCUUUCUGUUUAUAGCUCCACACUUUCACCAGCCACACAGCUCAGCUAUCUUACUAAACAGAACAUGCCCGUCAACUCAGUACAUACAGAGCAUUGCCCAUAUGUACACUCUCAA
rnacentral:lncRNA from 1 species